AUGGGUCGGUCAAGUUCGGCCAUGGAGAUGGGUCGGCGUAUUUGUUUGAUCCUGAUAUUUACACGGACGGACGGAUCUCGGUUCAGGGCAUUGACGGGGUAUUAUUCCCGCCGGAGGAGACAGAGGCCACGAACGCACCAAAGGCAGUUCAACCUACUAAGGUCGCGGCCAAGCCUCGGAGAGGGAAACUACUGGAAGUUACUUGCCGGAUGUUGAGAACUUUUGGACAGGAUACUUCUUUCACAGCUUGUCACUGAAGCAUGUAUUCGUUGAUUAAACCAAAGCAAAAGAUGUGGUAUAGUUUGGUAGGAUGCAGUGGUGUCGAACAUAAAGAAGAUCUUGAAGGAAGGAGAACUCAAAGGUUACAUAUUCUACAAUUAAAGCGACUUUGGU
rnacentral:misc_RNA from 1 species